rnacentral:rRNA from 1 species
CCUACGGGAGGCUGCAGUAGGGAAUCUUUCACAAUGGGCGAAAGCCUGAUGGAGCAACGCCGCGUGCAGGAUGAAGGCCUUCGGGUUGUAAACUGCUUUUAUAAGCGAGAAAUAUGAUGGUAACUUAUGAAUAAGGAUCUGCUAACUACGUGCCAGCAGCCGCGGUCAUACGUAGGAUCCGAGCAUUAUCCGGAGUGACUGGGUGUAAAGAGUUGCGUAGGUAGCAUAAUAAGUAGCUAGUGAAAUCUGGUGGCUCAACCAUUCAGACUAAUAGCGAAACUGUUAAGCUCGAGACAGUUAGGGGCAUCUGGAAUUUCUAGGGUAGGGGUGACAUCCGUAGAUAUUAGAAGGAACACCAAUAGCGUAGGCAGGAUGCUGGGACGGUUCUGACACUAAGGCACGAAAGCGUAGGGAGCAAACGGGAUUAGAUACCCUGGUAGUC